UCUCUUCUCUUCGUAUGCGAAAGUCUGCGACUCUGCGUCGCCGACGAGAUAGUAAAAGACUGUUCUUCUUACUGCCAUCGAAUCUCCAUCUGUAUUAUUAUGUUUUGCCAUUAAUUCCGAUGAAAACCUGUUAGAAUCCGGCGGUUGUGUCUUUUCGAUUGAUUUUCAUCUCACCAGCAAAAGAAUUCUGGGAUCGUUACGAAAAUCAGAUGAAAUCAAACGUGGUCUUUAUCACUAUAAAUAGUAUUGAUGCUGAUGAGAUUCGAUCAUAUGAAUAAGAUUGUUCCAAAUCCUCACGGUUUGGUUCCCGACGACUCAAAACAAUUACUUCAACGGAGCCACCGUUAGCUAUUUUGGCAGAGAAACGUGUCUGUUCCAGUGUCGGCCAGUUCUACAGAAGAAGACGACAUUCCAAAUAUCAGUCACGGGACUGAGUUGGUGGAACAUAGGUCAAUAUUCCGAAGCUCUAAGUAGUAUGCCUAAGGAUUCACUUGGACUAAGAGAACUAUACAUGCUUUAAAUGGUAUGUUGUGGCAUGUUUCAAAUCAUCAUUGACGGCAUUAUUUACACUUGGGAAGACAUCACAUGUAUUGACGUGUCCCUUAAGAUAAGCCAAUGGUGUGCAAAACAUUUACGCGUGUAUGUAAUAUCGAUUGAGGAGCCUCAAGAGGAAGAGGAUUCAAACAGUUUCUUUCAGCUUCUUUUGGAUUAACUUCAUUUUUCUGCUACAAGUCUAGAACUUUUUGGAAAAAUAUGUUUCAUGAGUGAUAGGGAAUCAUUUUAGUGAUUCACAAGUAGUUCAUUCUUUAAAUCAUUAUAUUUAUGCAAUCAACCCGUUAAAACUAUAGAACAAAAUCAUGUA